GCAAGAGAACUGGCGACUCCUUAUAGGAGGAAGCUCCGCCCACCCACAAUAUGUGCAAUGUCCUGAGAAGGGCUGGGUUUCAGUGUAUAGAAACGAUAUGGCCUCGAAGCAGAUGACAAUGAUAUAAUUUGAGGAGCUCCGAGAAUCCAGUGAAACGAGACUACCCCACAUGGGUGCAAGCAGUAUUGUGCUUAGCCGAAUGUCGCCGAAAUUACAGAAGGCGGGCUAUAGGUCUCAUGC
rnacentral:RNase_P_RNA from 2 species